GUGAAUCAUCGAAUUUUUGAACGCUUCUUGCACUUUCUGGUAUUCCGGAAAGUAUGCCUGUUUGAGGGUCAGUUAUAUACAAGUAGGUUUUGUUGAUACUUUUAGCGAUGAUGCCUCGGAAUUGAGUUGUUUUUCUUUUUUUUGGUUAAAGUGACUUAAAAUUUUGUAUGAUUUUUUGAACGUUUUUUAAUUGUUUAAGUAUGUUCAUAAUAUCAAAUAUAUUAGGUGCGAUGUUCCUCAUGAUUUCGCUUCUAUAAUUUUUCAUUAUUUGCACUCAA
rnacentral:misc_RNA from 1 species